GGUCCGAUGGCAUAGCGGUAACACACUCUGCUCGUGUAGCUGGUGGGAAACUGAAUAAUAGAGGGUUUGGAGUUCAAAUCUCCAUCGGGCCU